GAGGGCUGUGCUGAUUUGGCUAUUGAGAAGAUAUGAGGGUGACCUAGGUCUUUUCCUAUUGUGCAUCCAAGUACCAAUUCUGAAUAUUUUACUACAUUUCUAAGAGAUGCUACAGAGGAGUCUUUUUAAUUUGUAAUUUCCAUUUUGAAGUAUUUGCUGCUGUCAUGCAUGAUAUUUUGAUUUGCAACGAGGCUCUCAGAAAAGAGUAUUCUGAUGUCUUUUUCUAUAACAGCCUGAAGGGGAACGGAAAAAUAUUGUGACUGUUAUUGAACUGGACCCAAGGGUAAAAGGAGUUGAUGGAACCCAGGAACAAAGGGUCAUAGCCAAUAAAUUAGAUGACAAGGUGCCUGAAACAGAAAUUGAGACCAAGAUUUCUGUUCUAGGUGACCCUGUGGCUCAGAUUAUUGAAAA